CCCGCCAUUUCCGCCGCCGGGUGAAGGGUCGCGCCGUGGCCGCCGCCGCCGCCCCCGCGCCCCCGUUUUUCCGGGGCUGCCCCGCGCCGGGGACAUGGAGCGGCACUGACGGACCCGCCGCCGCCCCCUCCUUCCUUCCUCCCUCCCCCGCCCGCCCUCCCUCCCGCAACUGCAGCCGCCCCCCCGCGCCCCCCUCAGCCCGCCCGCCACGGGGAGGUCGCCGCGCCCCGCGUUUCCUGUCCUGCCCAGCUCUCUGAGUAGUUAAUGCAGAAGAUAAAGAGGGUUCGUCUGGAAAACGAGACUGCAGGAAGUUGGAGAAGUUUUUUGCCCAGCUCUGAAGGGGAAACGAGGAUGACUGCGGUGGACACGCUGUCGGACAGCUCCGAAGUGGUCGAGAUGGAGGAUGUGCCUUCCCAAUUCCAGGUGCAGAAGCAUUCUUGGGAUGGGCUGCGUGACAUAAUCCACAGCAGCAGGAAGUACUCGGGCAUGAUAGUGAACAAAGCUCCCCACGAUUUCCAGUUUGUCCGGAAAACGGAGGAGUCCAGCCCGCACUCGCAUCGCCUCUAUUACCUGGGAAUGCCAUAUGGUAGCAGAGAGAAUUCCCUUCUUUACUCAGAGAUUCCCAAAAAGGUACGGAAGGAGGCCUUGCUGCUCCUGUCCUGGAAGCAGAUGCUGGACCACUUUCAGGCAACCCCCCACCACGGGAUGUAUUCCAGAGAGGAGGAACUCCUGAGGGAACGCAAGCGGCUCGGGGUCUUUGGGAUAACAUCUUAUGAUUUCCACAGUGAGAGUGGCCUGUUCCUCUUCCAGGCCAGCAACAGCCUCUUUCACUGUCGAGAUGGGGGCAAGAAUGGAUUCAUGGUGUCUCCAAUGAAGCCUCUGGAGAUCAAGACUCAGUGCACGGGGCCACGGAUGGAUCCCAAAAUCUGCCCUGCUGACCCAGCCUUCUUUUCAUUCAUCAACAACAAUGAUCUGUGGGUGGCAAACAUCGAGACUGGUGAGGAGAAGAGGAUGACAUACUGCCAUAAAGGCUUAUCCAAUGUUCUUGAUGACCCCAAGUCUGCUGGUGUAGCCACUUUUGUCAUUCAGGAGGAGUUUGAUCGGUUCACGGGCUAUUGGUGGUGUCCCACAGCUUCCACAGAAGGUCCAGAGGACUUGAAAACACUGCGGAUCUUGUAUGAGGAAGUGGAUGAGUCAGAGGUGGAGAUAAUUCACGUUCCUUCACCUGCCUUGGAGGAGAGAAAAACAGACUCCUAUCGAUACCCCAGGACAGGCAGCAAAAACCCCAAGAUUACAUUAAAACUGGCAGAAUUUAAAACAGACAGCAAGGGAAAGAUCGUGUGUGCUCAGGACAAGGAGCUGGUGCAACCCUUCGCUGCGUUGUUUCCCACCGUGGAGUACAUCGCCCGCGCUGGAUGGACCCGGGAUGGCAAAUAUGCCUGGGCUAUGUUCCUAGACAGACCUCAGCAGCGGAUGCAGCUAAUCCUUCUGCCUCCAGCACUCUUUAUUCCAGCCCCAGAAAACGAGGAGCAGCGUGCUGAAUUUGCCAAAACUGUGCCAGAAAAUGUCCAGCCAUUUGUGAUCUAUGAAGAAACCACUGAUGUGUGGAUAAAUGUCCACGAUAUCUUCUACCCCUUCAUCCAGCCAGAGGGGGAGGAGGAAGAGCUCUGCUUCAUCCGAGCCAACGAGUGCAAGACAGGUUUCUGCCACCUGUACAGGGUGACAGCCAUCCUGAAGCCAGGCAGCCACGACUGGGUGCAGCCUUAUGUCCACAGUGAGGACGAUUUCAAGUGUCCCAUCAAGGAGGAGGUUGCCCUGACUGGUGGGGAGUGGGAGGUGCUGGCAAGGCAUGGAUCCAAGAUCUGGGUCAACGAGGCCACCAAGCUGGUGUACUUCCAAGGCACGAAGGACACCCCGUUGGAGCACCACCUCUACGUGGUCAGCUACGAGUCCCCUGGGGAAAUCAUGAGACUCACCACUCCAGGCUUCUCCCACAGCUGUUCCAUGAGCCAGAACUUUGACAUGUUCAUCAGCCACUACAGCAGUGUGAGCACUCCACCCUGUGUGCACAUCUACAAGCUCAGCGGCCCCGACGACGACCCGCUCCACAAGCAGCCCAAAUUCUGGGCCAGCAUGAUGGAGGCAGCCAGUUGUCCCCCGGAUUACGUCCCUCCGGAGAUCUUUCACUUCCGCACUCAGUCGGAUGUUGAGCUCUAUGGAAUGGUCUACAAACCUCACGAUGUCCAGCCUGGGAAGAAGCAUCCCACGGUGCUCUUUGUGUAUGGAGGCCCCCAGGUGCAGCUGGUGAAUAACUCCUUCAAAGGCAUCAAGUACCUGAGGCUGAACACGUUGGCAUCCCUGGGCUAUGCUGUGGUGGUGAUUGAUGGCAGGGGAUCGUGCCAGCGAGGACUCAAAUUUGAAGGGGCCCUAAAAAACCAAAUGGGUCAGGUGGAGAUAGAGGACCAGGUGGAAGGUUUACAUUAUGUAGCAGAAAAAUACGGGUUCAUCGACUUGAGCCGGGUCGCCAUCCACGGCUGGUCCUACGGGGGGUUCCUGUCCCUCAUGGGGCUCAUCUGUAAACCCAAUGUCUUCAAGAUUGCCAUAGCAGGUGCUCCUGUCACAGUGUGGAUGGCCUACGACACCGGCUACACCGAGCGGUACAUGGACAUCCCGGAGAACAACCAGCAGGGCUACGAGGCUGGCUCUGUGGCAUUACACGUGGAAAAGCUUCCCAACGAGCCAAACCGUUUGCUGAUCCUCCAUGGCUUUUUGGAUGAAAAUGUGCACUUUUUUCACACCAACUUCCUGGUAUCGCAGCUAAUCCGGGCUGGAAAACCUUACCAGCUGCAGAUCUACCCCAACGAGAGACACAGUAUUCGGUGCCCUGAGUCAGGAGAGCACUACGAAAUCACGCUGCUGCACUUUCUACAAGAAUACCUCUGAGAGCACGAGCCUCUGCAAACUGGACACUGACAGCUCACCCCCACUCCUGUGCCCUCCUGCCCCCGACAGCCGUCGAACCCAGAGCACAAGUGGCCGAGUGCCCACGGCGGGCUGGGUGUCCCCCCGCGCCAGGGGAAGGCUGGAGGGCACCUUCCCUUUCUGGACAGUGCCACCUUCUCUCACUUUCCAAGCUGGAGGUCUGCCCCUGCUCGGCUGCUCGUCCUCUUCCUCUCCUCCAGCCUGGCUGUUCAAUGCUUUUUUUGCUGCUACUCCCUCUCUCCUGGGAAUCAAUGGACAGUGGUCUGUCUCCCGAGGCUGAGAUAUAUCUAUCUAUUUUCCAGUUUCAUUUUGCAGAGCAGAUGGAGGAAGUGGCUGGGGCCGGUGACAGCGUCCUCUGAUCCUUCCUCUCAUGGCCGCUCGCGCGCGGAGUUGUGCCAACAACAGGUAGCACUUGGCAGCUGGCUACAACCAGAAGCCUCUCUCCAGAGCUCACAGCAGCAUCUGGGUUUUUUGCAACACAAGAUGGAUGAUAUUUAUGCAAAUCCUCCCUCCCUCCGUUCUCUGUGCCGCCUCCUGAUCCCACCUCCUCCUCCCGCCCCCCUCCUCCCCGAGCUUUCAGACGUGCACUGAAAUUGGCUGUGCUUCAGUUCUCUGCGGGUCAGUGACUGGUCCCCCUUGCCCACCUACUCAGAAAAAAAAAAAAAAACGCUCUCUCCUGGUUUUUAAUUUACCUGGGCAACAGGAACUGCAGUUCUGGGGAGGGGGGAUUGAGCAAUCACACCUCAGGGGAGCACAUCCCCCCCUUCAAGCCAAGGGGUUCUGCCAGGGGGCAAAACGCAAACAAAAGAAACAAAACCCACCCAAAUGAACCACGUUGACUUUGCCCUGGAGUAUUUUAAGUGCGUAUUAUGAAAAGAAAAUAUUUUUAUGGAUUCUUAUUCUUUUAUAAUUAUGAGUGUUAAGAUGUAGCGACUCAUUAAAAUAUUGGAAAGAGA